rnacentral:rRNA from 1 species
GAUGAACGCUGACAGAAUGCUCAACACAUGCAAGUCAAUGGGGAAACGGUGCUUGCACCGUGAUAACCAUGGCGGACGGGUGAGUAACGCGUAAAGAACUUGCCUCUUAGUCUGGGAUAACAGAUGGAAACGACUGAUAAAACUAGAUAUUAUUAAAGUUUCGCAUGAAGCUUUAAUGAAAAGAGAUGCUAAGAGAGAGCUUUGCGUCCUAUUAGUUAGUUGGUGAGGUAACGGCUCACCAAGACGAAGAUAGGUAGCCGGUCUGAGAGGAUGAACGGCCACAAGGGGACUGAGAUACGGCCCUUACUCUUACGGGAGGCAGCAGUGGGGAAUAUUGGACAAUGGAGGAGACUCUGAUCCAGCAAUUCUGUGUGCACGAAGACGGUUUUCGGAUUGUAAAGUGCUUUCAGCAGGGAAGAAGAAAGUGACGGUACCUGCAGAAGAAGCGACGGCUAAAUACGUGCCAGCAGCCGCGGUAAUACGUAUGUCGCAAGCGUUAUCCGGAAUUAUUGGGCAUAAAGGGCAUCUAGGCGGAUAUACAAGUCAGGGGUGAAAACUUAGGGCUCAACUCAAAGCUUGCCUUUGAAACUGUAUAUCUAGAGUGCUGGAGAGGUGGACGGAACUACACGAGUAGAGGUGAAAUUCGUAGAUAUGUGUAGGAAUGCCGAUGAUGAAGAUAGUCCACUGGACAGCAACUGACGCUGAAGUGCGAAAGCUAGGGGAGCAAACAGG